ACGGGUGAGUAACGCGUAGGAAUCUGCCUUGUAGAGGGGGACAACCCGGGGAAACUCGGGCUAAUACCGCAUAAUAAUCGAGAGAUGAAAGGGUGGGACCUUAGGGCCACUCGCUAUAAGAUGAGCCUGCGUUGGAUUAGCUAGUUGGUGGGGUAAAGGCCUACCAAGGCGACGAUCCAUAACUGGUCUGAGAGGAUGACCAGUCACACUGGGACUGAGACACGGCCCAGACUCCUACGGGAGGCAGCAGUGGGGAAUAUUGGACAAUGGGGGCAACCCUGAUCCAGCAAUGCCGCGUGUGUGAAGAAGGCCUGCGGGUUGUAAAGCACUUUUAGCGAUGAGGAAGUUGAUUGGUCGAAUAGGCUAGUUAAUUGACGUUAGUCGCAGAAAAAGCACCGGCUAACUCUGUGCCAGCAGCCGCGGUAAUACAGAGGGUGCAAGCGUUAAUCGGAAUGACUGGGCGUAAAGGGUGCGUAGGUGGCCUAUUAAGUUAGUUGUGAAAUCCCCGGGCUUAACCUGGGAACUGCAAUUGAUACUGGUAAGCUAGAGUUUGGUAGAGGAUAGUGGAAUUUCCGGUGUAGCGGUG
rnacentral:rRNA from 1 species